rnacentral:rRNA from 1 species
UACGUAGGGCGCAAGCGUUGUUCGGAAUUACUGGGCGUAAAGGGCUCGUAGGCGGCCAACUAAGUCGGACGUGAAAUCCCUCGGCUCAACCGGGGAACUGCGUCCGAUACUGGAUGGCUUGAGUUCGGGAGAGGGAUGCGGAAUUCCAGGUGUAGCGGUGAAAUGCGUAGAUAUCUGGAGGAACACCGGUGGCGAAGGCGGCAUCCUGGACCGACACUGACGCUGAGGAGCGAAAGCCAGGGGAGCAAACGGGG